UACGUAGGUGGCAAGCGUUGUCCGGAAUUACUGGGUGUAAAGCUCGUGUAGGCGGCAGACCAAGUCGGCGGUGAAAGCGCCCGGCUCAACUGGGCGAGGUCCGUGGAAACUGGUCAGCUGGAGGACGGUAGAGGCGAGUGGAAUUCCCGGUGUAGUGGUGAAAUGCGUAGAGAUCGGGAGGAACACCUGUGGCGAAGGCGGCUCGCUGGGCCGGUCCUGACGCUGAGACGCGAAGGCGUGGGGAGCGAACGGG
rnacentral:rRNA from 1 species